CUAAGGUAGCGAAAUUCCUUGUCGGGUAAGUUCCGACCCGCACGAAAGGCGUAACGAUUUGGGCACUGUCUCAACGAGAGACUCGGUGAAAUCAUAGUACCGGUGAAGAUGCCGGUUACCCGCGACAGGACGGAAAGACCCCGUGGAGCUUUACUGUAGCCUGAUAUUGAAAUUCGGUACAGUUUGUACAGGAUAGGUAGGAGCCUUAGAAGCGUGAGCGCUAGCUUACGUGGAGGCAUUGGUGGGAUACUACCCUAAUUGUAUUGGAUUUCUAACCCGCAGCACUUAUCGUGCUGGGAGACAGUGUCAGGCGGGCAGUUUGACUGGGGCGGUCGCCUCCUAAAGAGUAACGGAGGCGCUCAAAGGUUCCCUCAGAAUGGUUGGAAAUCAUUCAUAGAGUGUAAAGGCAUAAGGGAGCUUGACUGCGAGACCUACAAGUCGAGCAGGGUCGAAAGACGGACUUAGUGAUCCGGUGGUUCCGCAUGGAAGGGCCAUCGCUCAACGGAUAAAAGCUACCCCGGGGAUAACAGGCUUAUCUCCCCCAAGAGUUCACAUCGACGGGGAGGUUUGGCACCUCGAUGUCGGCU
rnacentral:rRNA from 1 species